AGUGAACGCUGGCGGUAGGCCUAACACAUGCCAGUCGAACGGCAGCACAGUAAGAGCUUGCUCUUACGGGUGGCGAGUGGCGGACGGGUGAGGAAUACAUCGGAAUCUACUUUUUCGUGGGGGAUAACGUAGGGAAACUUACGCUAAUACCGCAUACGACCUACGGGUGAAAGCAGGGGAUCUUCGGACCUUGCGCGAUUGAAUGAGCCGAUGUCGGAUUAGCUAGUUGGCGGGGUAAAGGCCCACCAAGGCGACGAUCCGUAGCUGGUCUGAGAGGAUGAGCAGCCACACUGGAAGGAGAACACGGUCCGGCCGCAGACGGGAGGCAGCAGUGGGGAAUAUGGGACAAUGGGCGCAGGCUUGAAAAAGCCAUGCGGAGUGGGAGAAAAAGGCCUGGGGAUUGCAAGGCUGUUUUGUGGGGAAAGAAAAACAGAGGAUCAAAACCCCGCGGUUCAGACGGGACACAAAGAGUAAGAACGCGCAAAUUUGGUG
rnacentral:rRNA from 1 species